rnacentral:rRNA from 1 species
UACGGGGGGCACAAGCGUUAUUGGGAAUCAUUGGGCGUAAAGGGCGCGUAGGCGGUCUUUUAAGUCAGAUGUGAAAGCCCUCGGCUUAACCGAGGAAGUGCAGUUGAUACUAAAAGACUUGAGUAUGGGAGAGGGAAGCGGAAUUCCUGGUGUAGCGGUGAAAUGCGUAGGUAUCAGGAGGAACACCGGCGGCGAAGGCGGCUACCUGGACCAAUACUGACGCUGAGGCGCGAAGGCGUGGGGAGCAAACAGG